AGUGGACGCUGGCGGUAGGCCUAACACAUGCAAGUCGAACGGCAGCACAGUAAGAGCUUGCUCUUACGGGUGGCGAGUGGCGGACGGGUGAGGAAUACAUCGGAAUCUACUUUUUCGUGGGGGAUAACGUAGGGAAACUUACGCUAAUACCGCAUACGACCUACGGGUGAAAGCAGGGGAUCUUCGGACCUUGCGCGAUUGAAUGAGCCGAUGUCGGAUUAGCUAGUUGGCGGGGUAAAGGCCCACCAAGGCGACGAUCCGUAGCUGGUCUGAGAGGAUGAUCAGCCACACUGGAACUGAGACACGGUCCAGACUCCUAAGGGAGGCAGCAGUGGGGAAUAUUGGACAAUGGGCGCAAGCCUGAUCCAGCCAUACCGCGUGGGUGAAGAAGGCCUUCGGGUUGUAAAGCCCUUUUGUUGGGAAAGAAAAGCAGCAGGUUAAUACCCCGCUGUUCUGACGGUACCCAAAGAAUAAGCACCGGCUAACUUCGUG
rnacentral:rRNA from 1 species